UGAGGAAUAUUGGUCAAUGGGCGAGAGCCUGAACCAGCCAAGUAGCGUGCAGGACGACGGCCCUACGGGUUGUAAACUGCUUUUGCGGGAGAAUAAAGUCGGCCACGCGUGGCCAUUUGCAGGUAUCCCGUGAAUAAGGACCGGCUAAUUCCGUGCCAGCAGCCGCGGUAAUACGGAAGGUCCGGGCGUUAUCCGGAUUUAUUGGGUUUAAAGGGAGCGCAGGCGGAGGAUCAAGCCAGCCGUCAAAGAGCGGUGCUCAACACCGUCCAGCGGUUGGAACUGGUUCCCUUGAUUGCGGGAGAAGAAGGCGGAACUCGUGGUGUAGCGGUGAAAUGCAUAGAUAUCACUCAGAACACCGAUUGCGAAGGCAUCUCACAAAUCCGCAAUUGACGCUGAGGCACGAAAGCGUGGGGAUCGAACAGGAUUAGAUACCCUGGUAGU
rnacentral:rRNA from 1 species